rnacentral:rRNA from 1 species
CCUACGGGAGGCAGCAGUGAGGAAUAUUGGUCAAUGGACGAGAGUCUGAACCAGCCAAGUAGCGUGAAGGAUGACUGCCCUAUGGGUUGUAAACUUCUUUUAUAUGGGAAUAAAACGUUCCACGUGUGGGAUUUUGUAUGUACCAUAUGAAUAAGGAUCGGCUAACUCCGUGCCAGCAGCCGCGGUAAUACGGAGGAUCCGAGCGUUAUCCGGUGUUAUUGGGUUUAAAGGGAGCGUAGGUGGAUUGUUAAGUCAGUUGUGAAAGUUUGCGGCUCAACCGUAAAAUUGCAGUUGAAACUGGCAGUCUUGAGUACAGCAGAGGUGGGCGGAAUUCGUGGUGUAGCGGUGAAAUGCUUAGAUAUCACGAAGAACUCCGAUUGCGAAGGCAGUUCACUGGACUGCAACUGACACUGAGGCUCGAAAGUGUGGGUAUCAAACAGGAUUAGAUACCCGAGUAGUC